AUACUUACCUGGUAGGGAAGAUACCAUGAUCACGAAGGUGGUUUUCCCAGGGCGAGGCUUAUCCAUUGCACUCUGGAUGUGCUGACCCCUGAGAUUUCCCCAAAUGUGGGAAACUUGACUAUAUAAUCUGUGGUAGUGGGGGACUGUGUUCUCACUUUCCUCUG
ensembl:snRNA U1 U1 spliceosomal RNA